GGGGAUUUAGCUCAGUGGCGUAAGUGCCUGCCUUAUAAGCAGGUGGUCGUGAGUUCAAUCCCUG
rnacentral:tRNA from 1 species